rnacentral:rRNA from 1 species
AUUGAACGCUGGCGGCAGGCCUAACACAUGCAAGUCGAGCGAGCGGCGGACGGGUGAGUAAUGUAUGGGGACUGCCCGCUAGAGGGGGAUAACAACUGGAAACGGUAGCUAAUACCGCAUACUAUCGGAUAACCCAUGUGGGAUUAGCUAGUAGGUGAGUGAAUGGCUCACCUAGGCGACGAUCCCUAGCUGGUCUGAGAGGAUGAUCAGCCACACUGGGACUGAGACACGGCCCCGACUCCUACGGAGGCAGCAGUGGGGAAUAUUGGACAAUGGGCGCAAGCCUGACGCAGCAAUGCCGCGUGUAUGAAGAAGGCCCUAGGGUUGUAAAGUACUGUUGGCAGAGAAGCGGUAUCUGCAGAAUAAGCACCGGCUAACUACGUGCCAGCAGCCGCGGUAAUUC